GUUUGAUCCUGGCUCAGAAUGAACGCUGGCGGCGUGCCUAACACAUGCAAGUCGCACGAGAAAGUCUGCCUUCGGGCGGGCGAGUAAAGUGGCGCACGGGUGAGUAACGCGUAGGUAAUCUACCCCCGGAACCGGGAUAACAGUGCGAAAGUGCUGCUAAUACCGGAUACGAUCUUUUGGCGGGAGCUGAAAGGUGAAAGUCGGCCUCUCGAAGAAGCCGGUGCUCGGGGAUGAGCCUGCGUCCUAUCAGCUAGUUGGCAGGGUAACGGCCUACCAAGGCGACGACGGGUAGCUGGUCUGAGAGGAUGAUCAGCCACACUGGCACUGAAACACGGGCCAGACUCCUACGGGAGGCAGCAGUGAGGAAUUUUGCGCAAUGGGAGCAAUCCUGACGCAGCAACGCCGCGUGGGUGAUGAAGGCCUCGGUCGUAAG
rnacentral:rRNA from 1 species